rnacentral:tRNA from 1 species
GCGCGGGUGGCGAAACUGGUAGACGCGUACGUUUGAGGGGCGUAUGCCUCGCGGCUUGGGGGUUCGACUCCCCCCCCGCGCA